UGGUCGCAUCACGCACAUGUAGCGCUUCUGUGAUUAAGUCUAUAACAGGAAUAAAAUAAUAGGACCACACAAAAUUUAUAACAGGCUAUAAUAUAAUUAACAAAAGGAAGAAAACUGUGCGACAAGUAUACGCUCGUUUUUGUGACACCCUUAAUGCUUUUUGUUUCCUUUUCUUUGUAUCUUUAUUUGAUUUAAUCCAUCUGAUCGCACAGGCGCCACACACACACACACACACACAAACAACAUUAGUUCUUGCAUUAGGCUAUCUGACAUUUCAGCCAUUCAUCAUCAAACUAAAAUGCAGUCAACCAAACAUAAGUUACACUGUUUAUUUUAAAAGGCUGUAAAAUCAGCGUGCAGCGUCCAACAAACAUUUUUGUGCAUGUAAAGUAUUUUUCACGAAUAUUAGACCAUGAGUGAAGUAUAACGCCUUGUUAAGGCGAACUAACGAAUAAUAGUUUAGCAAACAAAUGGAAACGUUUGGAUUCUUGUGGAAUGAGACAGGCUCAUGAGCUCAGUGCCGUUUCAGUUUUGCUUGAAUGCUGUAUAAUGAAUGCCACUAUAGCCUAUUUUGUGUUUUAUUUUAAUAUGUAAUUUUAUAAAUAGCCCAGCUAACACACGACGUAACUGUUACGUAACCUAUUGGUAUUUUUUGGUAAUUUCAUGAUUUACCAAUAGGCAACGUAACCACGACGUCGUAUGCACGUAAUUUCAUUACCAUCCCAUUACCAACUCACAACGUCGUCAGUACGUCCUCCUAACGUAACAGGAUAACCAAGAACGUCCCAGACAGGUACUCUAAUCGUAAUAUAUUGGUAACUUCAUGACUUACUGGCAACGUAACUGCAACGUCGUAUGCACGUAAUUUCAUUAUCAUAUUUUUUGUACGUUCUUUGUGCUCUCUGAUUACCAUAAUGCUAUUUAAAAAGUGUAAUUAAACAGACACAAGAUUGAACGUUCCUUGAAGAUAAAAUGUGUUUCUUUUCACUAAGAAUAUGGACGAUUGCUUUUAAUAUGCCUUUAUAUAGCCCCCCUAUUAAUAAAUUCACAUCAAUCACACCCAUACAGCACUGUUAAAUAUGUUGACAUAUUUUGAAAAUAUAUUUUAAAAAUACAUAAAACAAAGUUUAAAAAAUUGUUCCUCAUGAUACAUGUGUAAAUGUGAGCACGAAAAAAUACAUUCCUAUGCCUUAGUUUUUAAUGAAUGUUUUUUCAAUGUUGUUUCUACACCACGUUUUACCAUUUCUAAAGCUAUAUUAUUAUAUUAUAUUAUUUACGUAAAAUUCUGCGUGACUUCUACGUGCUUUAAUGGGCGAGCGCGCGCUGAACUGGAGCGGAGGAAGUCACCAUGGAAACGGGGCGGCAGCUCAACUGUCAAGCAGCAACUUCGUCUCUCACUGUUGUUUUUACUAAUUUCAGAAGCGUCAGAAAAAACCCUCUAUGACACAGGAGAAGUUCCUGAUUUUAACAUUUCUGAAGGGAGCUGCUGACAGAGAAAUAGAAAACACAGAUUCUUCCAUGCUGACGGCCGUGCACAGGAGUUGGAGCGUAUCUCCUGUCGAAGAACAUCUCUAGACAUUAUGAACCAUCUGUCUAAGACUGAAAAUCAUCAAUAAACCAAAAGUUUGGUUUAGCUCCAACCCCAAUUAAGCAGACCUGAGCAGCUGAUCAAGGAUCACCAGAAACCAUGCCCAGGACUGGACACCAGUGUUCUAAAUAAAACCAAAGGCCAUUCAGCCACAGGUCACUGCAUCUUUUGCUGUAUGCUGGUGAAAAAACCGCCAGGCUAAAGCAUUCAAAGUGGAAACUUCUGUCGUGGCUCAGUAAUCCAGGAUUGGGAUGGUGGAAGAACCAGAAGAUCAGAGAUCAGGCAGAGAUCUACCGGUGCGCCUGAGGGAACAGAUUUACCUAAUGUCUUAGUUAAACCAAAGAUUCUCAUCACUCGCCUCCAUGUCGUUCCAAACCUAUAAGACUUUUGUUCAUCUUUGAAACAUAAAUGUAUAUCAUUUUAAUGAAAUCUGAGAAAUUUCUGCCCCUCCAUUUCACAGUUUAUGCAACUACCACUUUCAAGCCUCAGAAAGGUAAUAAAUACAUCAUUAACGUAAACCAUGUGACUCCAGUUGUUUAACCUCAAUUUAUGAAGUGAUGUGAAUGUUUUGUGUGCACAAAAAACGUUGCAUUUUUAUUUACAAAAUAACAUGUUCACGAGAGCACCAUCAUGCAUCACUGUUGCGUUGGUGUGAGAGCUGGCCAUCUCAUGGUGCUUUUGUGAAAAUACAUAAUUUGUAAAUAAAGACAUACUAUUUUUGUUAUUGCUGUUUUUUGCGUACACAUGGCAUCUGUUAAAAAUAUCUUAAUUUGUGUUCUGCACAAAAGGGUCUUAUGGGUUUGGAGCGACAUGAGGGUAAGUAAUGACAGAAUUUACAUUUUUGGGUGAAAUAUAUUGGUCAUUGUUAUGUUUUAUAAACAUUUUCAAUAUUUUAAAGAUUUAUUGUUUUGAAAAAUGAUGUUUAUACAGUCUGCUUUAAGUACUUUUGUUGGUAACGCUUUAAGGUGUCAUUUGUUAACAUUAAUGUAUUAACUAACAUGAUCAAACAAUGAACAAUGCAUUUAUUACACUAUUUAUUAAUCUUUGUUAAUGUUAAUGAAAAUACAGUUGUUCAUUGUUUAUUCAUGUUAGUUCACAGUGCAUUAAUGUUAACAAACACAACGCAUUAGUAAAUGCUGAAAUUAACAUUAAUUAAUAAAUGCUGUAGAAGUAAUGUUCAUUCUUAGUUCAUGUUUACUAAUGUUGUUAACUAAUGUUAACUAAUGAACCUUGUUGUAAAGUGUUACCCUUUUGUUAAUAUCAACACCUCUGUGAUUAUGGUAUCUUUCCUUAAUUAUCAGAAAUGUCUGCUAGCAAAUAUUAUGCUAGCAUAUCUGUUUAUAAUGAUGCUGAGCACGGAACGUCCUGAAUGCUUUCAUUCAUAUUUCGCUGUAUAUCCUAUGUUUUUAUUAAUAAUUUGGGUGUAUUUUAUUGUUCAUAUU